AGCCUGCUUGCAGGCGUUGUAUUUGAGCAGCCUUGGGGCGUCAGUGUAGGUAAGUCGCAUGGAAAUGCGUACCGUGGAGGGUGAGAGUCCCGUCCAACCUAUGCAGGACGUUCCGCACAAGGCUGUUUCAGUCGAGUCGGGUAGCUUGGGAAUGCUGCUCUAAUUGGUGGUAAAUCUCAUCAAAGGCUAAAUAACGGUGGGAGACCGAUAGUAAACAAGUACCGUGAGGGAAAGAUGACAAGCACUUUGAAAAGAGGGUGAAAAGAACCUGAAACCGUUACGGGGGAAGCGGAUUGCGUUGGAUUGAUGGGUAUUUGUGUGUUCAGCCAUGAACUAUGUUCUAGGUGCAUUGAUGCAAAUACUUAUCCGCCGUGGGUUUUUGGCAACCGAUUUUGGGUUGCUAGAGACUGAGGGCUCCCCUUUUAGGGUAAUGAGGACGGCGGAGUGACGACGCGAUACGACCCGUCUUGAAACACGGACCAAGGAGUCUAGCGCGGGUGCGAGUCGGAGGGUUUUCAAACCUGUGGGCGAAGUGAAAGCGAGUUUUGAUUCUAAAACUAGCAGUUUGAGGCGGCAUAGAAUCGUUGAUUCUAGGUCCGACCUGGAGCAGUUGCGCUGGGACCCGAAAGAUGGUGAACUAUGCCGGAGUAGGGCAAAGCCAGAAGAAAUUCUGGUGGAGGCUCGUAGCGGUGCUGACGUGCAAAUCGCUCGUCAAACUUGGGUAUAGGGGCGAAAGACUAAUCGAACCAUCUAGUAGCUGGUUCCCUCCGAAGUUUCUCUCAGGAUAGCGGGCCGACAUGAGUUGUUUUGUGCGGUAAAGCGAAUGAUUAGCGCACUCGGGGACUAUAAGUCUUCGGGCGAUUCCAAACUUUCAAUGCGCAAGGGUACCGGUGCUUAAUUGAGCGGUACCGAUAAAAACGUCGGCCCUGUGGGCCACUUUUGGUAAGCAGAACUGGCGAUACGGGAUGAACCGUAAGCAUGGUUAAGGCGCCAAAUUGCCCGCUUAUAGAUCCCAAAAAAGGUGUUGAUAAAUGGAUGGCGCUGAAGCGGGUAGCCGACACCAUGCCGUCUGGGCAAUUUUAAAAAUUAAAACUGAUUUCAGAUGAGUAGGAGGGCGUGGUGGCCGUGUCGAAGCUUGCGUGCAGACGCAUGUGGAACGGCCACUAGUGCAGAUCUUGGUGGUAGUAGCAAAUAUUCAAGCGAGAUCCUUGAAGGGCGAAGCGGGGAAGGGUUCCACGCGAACAUUGAUUGGGCGUGGGUGAGUCGUUCCUAAGCCGAGUGGCGAUUGCUAAGUAGCGGCGAAAGGGAAGCGGGUUGACAUUCCCGCACACGGAUGUGGAGGCGGUGACGCUUUUAUUGCGGCGAACACGCUGGCGGUGGCGCUGGGCAGAGUUUUCUUUUCUGUUUGACCGCUUUAUGCGCGCGGUGUGGAAUCCGCUUGUCGGGAGAAACACGCGCGUACGGGCAGAGCGCCGGGCUUUUUCCGGCGUCCAGCUCGCCACCGACGGCCCUUGAAACUUUGCCUGCUGAUUUAAAAUCCACGCCGUGGCGUACCGAUCACCGCAUCAGGUCCCCAAGGUGAACAGCCUCUGCUCCAUAUGAACAAUGCAGGUAAGGGAAGUCGGCAAAUUGGACCCGUAACUUUGGGAAAAGGGUUGGCUCUAGUGCUGCGUGGGAGUGGUUGUCUGGUUUCGUCGUUGAUUAGGGUGGCUCCCAGAGGUGCUUUGGGUUUGGUCUCACGGCCUGCCCUUGUGCUUCAGGAGCUCCUUGGUUACGGCGCGCUAGACGACGCCCACAGCAUGCAGCAAACUACAACUGCAACGGCCGGUGAUGACGCAAUGUGAUUUCUGCUCAGUGCUCUGAAUGUCAAAGUGAAGAGAUUCAAUCAAGCGCGGGUAAACAGCGGGAGUAACUAUGACUCUCUUAAGGUAGCCAAAUGCCUCGUCAUCUAAUUAGUGACGCGCAUGAAUGGAUUAACGAGAUUCCUACUGUCCCUAUCUGCUUCUAGCGAAACCACAGCCGAGGGAACGGGCUCGGCAAAAUCGGCGGGGAAAGAAGACCCUGUUGAGCUUGACUCUAUUCUAAUUUUGUGAAGCAAGUUGGGAGGUGUAGAAUAGGUGGGAGUGCUUGCACGUCCGUGAAAUACCACUACUCCCAGUCUUGCUUUACUUACUGGGUACGUGUGGAACGAGUCUUACGACUUUAUUUUGGAAUCAAUACCGCUUUUUUGCGUGUAGACUACAGCUCAGCACACAUUUAGGAGGGGAGUUUGGCUGGGGCGGUACAUCUUCUACAAGACAACGAAGGUGUCCAAAGAUAAGCUCAGUGAGAACAGAAAUCUCACGUAGCGCAAAAGGGUAAAAGCUUGUUUGAUUUUGAUUUUCAGUGCGAGUCGAAAACGCGAAAGCGUGGCCUAUCGAUCCUUUCACAAUUCGAGAUUUGAAGCGAGAGGUGUCAGAAAAGUUACCACAGGGAUA
rnacentral:rRNA from 1 species